AGCUGGUUGGAGCUGAUGGCAGGCUGGGAGUGCAGCUGUGCCAGCCUGGCAAAGUUACAGCAGCAGCAGGCAGCUGCCUCAUUUUCUGGCUCCCAGCAGUAUGUGGGUGAAGAAAAAUAAUGUUAGCGUUUGGCUAACAUCACACGAUGGCUUCCAAAAUAUCAGUUCAGCAGGCUUCUCUCAUCCAACAAAAAUGGGCUCUCACUGGGUAUUAGCAGUAACACACACACCCCCACACCCAUAAUCAGUGGGUGUAAAAUGUGAAAAGGACUUUUGCCAGGGAGCGUUCAGAUCCAGAGCUGUGAAUGGGAACUGCAUGCUUGGAACGGAGGCAUGAGAACACUCUUGCUGCUUGCAUCCUUUUGUUCCUCUGACAUUUUGGGAUUUUGUGUGGGUGUGAUGACACAUUUCCCCUAAAGCCCGCAGAACCAAGUCACGGGUUUCAAUGUAGGCUACUGGAGAAGGAUCACCCCUCAGAAACACAGCUGUGGAGAAACAGAGAGCAAGCCCUGGUAUGUGCUGGAAGGACUGAAUUGUGCCCAGGCCCUGCUGGCUCGUUACACUCAAAGUGAAGGAAGCGGGGAAGCUCUUCAGCCCACUGCACUGCUCUUCCCCUGAUACAUCCCAUUGCCACGGCUGCUGCCACUGCUGGCUGCUGAACAGCCCAGAGACGCCCUCUCCGAUGUCUGAAGGACAUGUGGAGACACACAUUAGCACAGCUUAUAGCUGUACAACUGCAUUACCAUUUGCACAAAAGCAUGUUGCUUCUGGCUUGCACUGAGCCGUAGCAUAAAUGAAAAUUGUCUCCAAACCACUGAAGAACGCUGGUCCAGGAGGAUUUGUUUUGAGUGAGCCCCACUGACAGCAGCGUCACGCUAUGGAUGUGGCUUUGCGGACAACUUCAGAAAUGGUGAGAGCAGGGAGAUUGCAAAGGUAGACAGACACAUAACAGUUUAGCUGAGAAGAAACUAAGCCAGGAGUCAGGGUGAGAUUUGGGGAUUGUAAGUCUGAUAACCCAGUUUGGACCAUUGUCCCAGGGAGGGUUGUGGAGCAGAGGGCAAGGAAGGGAGAGCAUGAUGCCAUAGACUGUCACCCGAGUGAUGUUAGUGCUGGAGCACUUUGUGAGUUCAGGGAAGGACAGUGAGAACGGGACGUUUUAUCUAUUAUCUACUCAUUACUAUACCAGACUUUGCAAAGAGGUAAAGAAAGACACGUCUCAGUUACGGCAAUAUUUCCUGUUCUAACUGAACUCCAAUUUAAUACCAUCAAAAAGUGAGUUAGGGGAUUUGGGUGAGUCUCAAUCAUCAAGUGAGGAAUUUCACAUCUGAGAUUGUCAUCUGUCAAUACCAGGUAGACUAUAGAUCUGCAAAAGAAGAAAGAAAAAAUGCCGCCAGAUGACCGCAGAUGGAAAAAGAGUAGAAUUCAGUUGCAGUGGACUGGGCUGCUGUAUUUUAGGUUUGAAAUCUGUUUUCUCUAAAAACUUCCUUAGCCUUAUGGAAAGAGAAGUCUGCAUCUUGUCCUUUCACGAUGAAAAAGAAAUUACUUUGGAUUUAAAACCUCAAAUAAAACAUGUGAAAGGAACACAAAUUUAGAGCAAUAUUGCUGUAUUAAAAGAAAACUGAAUCUGUUAUGAUGCAAUUAUAUACCUGAAAGUUUUUUUAAUCUUAGAACUGUUCUUCAACAUACCAUUCCCGGAUACAUAUGAUUGUACAGAUAUCCAGAGUUUUAAAUAUAUAAUCCCUGGUAUAUGAAAAUAAACAUAGACCUUUCUACAUUUUAGGUUGUAUUAUGUUUUGCUUAGGCUGGCAGAGGAGAAAAAGAAAGGCAGAAAGAAGAAAAUGGAGAAGAAGUGAUUAAAAAACUGAAAAUAAACCAUUAAGAAAACAGUAAAUAAAAGCCCCGUGACUUAGAGAAAAAAUGAGAGUGGUGAGAGGGGAGAAAAUCUUAAUACAAAAACAAUGGAAUCCAAAGCUAUGGAAGAGAGUCUUUUACAAGUUUUCUCCCUCUGACAGUUUUAAGGUAGAAUGGCCUCUGUUUUCUUUCAGUAGAAAUAGAAGAUUCAGAAGUUGAAUCUUCGUCAGUGACCCAAAGAGGGUGGUGGGCUCUGGAAAAGUUCAGCCUAAGGAGGGUCCUUCUGCCCUCUGGGAAAGCCUGCCUCCACAAAGGCAUCGUGUCAUGCUCAUAAAUCAGAAUUAUGCUUGCAUUGAUAAGAAAUCCAGACUCAGGCUUCUAAAUGUAUGGAGAAAGAAGCAAACCAUCUCUAACUCUGGUAGCAGUGAUAUAAUGUAAAUGUUUAUGACUAGGAUUAAGAUACUUUAGUAUUUAUGGCCUAAGUACAGAUACAUUACCUACUCUCCAACCUACUGGACAGUAACUGCUGUUUUUGUUACCUGUUUGACUACUUUAUUCUUGAUCUCUGUCAUAAACCUCAGAUGUAUGUCACCUAGAACUGUUCAGAUGAUAAAUCUGCUUCCACUUCUCCUCUUCUAACACCUCCAUCUUUACAGAUAUUCAUUGCAAUUACUAGUGAAGAGCUGUGCCAAUAUCUUUAGCAGUGAAGAUUAAUGCAAAGAUGUUGCAUAGCUUCUCAUCAACAUUUUAAUCUGCCCAAAUUACCCUUUAUAGCCUGCCUAGUCGCCAGACCUCUGCCAUUUUUUUCACAGGUUCAUUGAUUCAGAUACAUCUAAGUUAUCUGGUAGUGUUUGUUUUUAAGCCUUAUGCUAUUUGCCAUGCAAAUCCAGCUUAAUCCUUUUCUCUCCCAGAUCCUACUCUAAUUUACAUUCUUGUUUAUUGACUUCAUCUGUGUCAAAUUUCUAAGUUCUGAAGACUUUCUCUUUUCCUCAAAGAACUUUGGUGCUGUCUAGUUACACUGGUAAGUCUCUUGCCUCUCUUGUAUCCUUUCUUAUUUGGUGGUACAUAAAUUUUCUGAGUCUCAGUAGCCAUCUUGUAUAGCUAAAUUCCUUUUUGGAGUUUUACUUCCUUUAAGUAAUCAAUUCUCAACCUUUUAGUGAAGGCUUCUCUUCAUAAAAUAUUGUUCCUUUCAGAGUCCUUUUCUGAGUGUAAAACCUAACUAUAACAGCUGUGCUAGACAGUUGCAUGAGUCCUCUUCUUAUAUGAAUUAGCUCUCAUAUAUCUUAAGACUAAAUCAAAACUAUCUUCACCUUCUGCUGCAAAACUCUUCCAAAUAGCAUGUACUUAGAGCAUUAAGAAAUUGUGUGUUUACCUUUGGGGCCAUUUGGGGAGACUGUAACAGCAGACCAUAGAGCUCUGUUAUGAAGCCAAAAAGCUUCUAGUUAAAAGGCCUACACCCCUAUGUGAUUGAAAAACACUGCCAAUUUUGCUAACGAAGAAACUGAUAGCAGUCUCACAUUGUUCCCCACCAUGUGGAGCCCAUGCUGGAGGAAGACAAAAUCCAGCUGACAGAAGAGAAGCGGUGGGACAAGAAAUGUGAUGUUGUUCUCUGUGCUCCGAGGCAAGCGUGCACACCCUCCACACCCUCUGUCUCUGCAGCUGUGAGCCUCCCCUUGGCUUCACGCUGUCCUUGUUCCUGCUCACCCCAUCCACGGCAGCUUUGCCAGCAGAAGAGUUGCAGCAGCAGGACAUUAAAGCUCUUGAAAUUAUCACUAUUGUUUCAGCGAAAAGUGUGACAUGGAAACACAUGUAUUUUUAAGUGGACACUUACCACUGUUAUCUCAGCAGCCUCAUGAAGCAUGUUUGACCUGCCUAUCGCUGAACAUAGAGAUUCCUGAUGACAAAGAAUAAGAGGCCCUCUUAAAAUCCAGACCGAACUAUUGCCCUUCUGCCUUUGGAUGUUUUCAGCAUCUUUCUCUGUCCCCUGAAAACAUACUUCAUGCUGAAUUCAGCCCUCCUUGUUCCUCCUUUCGUUUUGCUACUGAGUUUGAUCUCUUCAACAUGGACCUUUGUCGAUAUCCCAGAAGACAGCAGUCAAAUUGAAUGGGCUUUAAGGAGGACCACCUUUUCAUUACAGAUAGCUGGAAUCACAGGCAGUGGAAAGGUGCUGCCCGGAACAUAUCCCUCAGUGUUCUGUGCUGAUCCUUGCCAUGCCAACUGCCUCAGGAGGGAUGCUGCAAAGCACCACGGCACAUGGCUCCUCCUCUUCACUUUGAAGCAAAUUGUUCAAACCAUUGAGGACAAGAUCAACUCAGCACCUGUUUGAAUCACAGUUUCUUGAGACCCUGUCACAUCCACAUGACUGACCAUGGAAAAGAGGGAUGACUGUGCCCAGGUGCUCCAUGCAACUUGUGUUCAUGGAUAAUAUGAUCUAAUUUGGAUAAACAGAUGGUUUAACCACACCUCCGGUCAUCAGGGUCUCAGUAUGGACACAGUUCUACAAUAUCUUUGAGGAGCUGCUAUUGCUGGAGCUGGAACCCAGAGGUGAUGAACAAGCAGUGGUAGCUUAGGGGAGGAGGAAAAAAGGUGGUAGUGGACAGCCAACCUAGGAGGAGAAGGCAAUAUGAAGUUUGACUGAAAUGGGAUGGUAACAGCCCUUCUUCAGGUAAAUUGCUCCCCUUGUGACAGCUUUCUGACUAGAAGUUCACAAUCACAGGUGAUGUCAAGUAAAAGGAUACAGCAUGCACAGUACUACUGCACAUUCAUGCCUUUACCGUCCUGCAUCUUGGCCACUGAAACUGGAGUUUCAUGUAAAAAGGGACUAAAAUUGUACAACUGAAUGCUGGCAGAUGAUACUUUUCUAUAUGGCAAUUCAGGGAAUUUGGUGAUGAUAAAGGGGAGAGCCCUGAGUAGCAUAAGUAGAAGAUAUUGACUGAUAUGUUAUUUAACUGGGCUUUAGAUAGACACUUUUAUUUAUGUGUUUGUGUUUUUUCAAACAAGAUUGAAUCUAGGUGUGUGCAAGGAUCAUUAGAUUCAGAGAAGCUGAAUCUAGAAGCAAAAUGGAGAGCACUGGAAAAAAAGAGAUCACUUUAACAGCAAACUUAUUUUAGCUGAGCUAUGGGUAGAGCUCUGAUACCUUGCGGGUAUCCAGUGUAGCCGCAGGGACAAGAUAACCCCAGUGCUUUUAGGUACAUAACAAAAUCAGAAACUGAGACAUCUAAACAGAAGCAACAAGAGAUCAGCUGCACAUACUGAACUCUCUAGAGGUCAGGAACUACAAGCAUACUCAGUUCCAGUCCCUAGAUGCACCAUCUUCCUUGCCAAACUCAUGGCUGAUGCUUCUGAAUGCUUUUUAGCAGCAGUUAUGAGAAACAGUUCUCAUCUGGUCGUGCUUCAUUCGUCACAUUACACUUGAUUAAAAUCUGAAUUUGGCAAAUCCUUGAAGAUCUUAUUCUUGAAGGAAUGCUUCAUGUGGUGCAAAGCAAUUGCUGGAGAUUUUUUUUGUUAACACGGCAAGGGGCUAUAAAAUUUACUCUGGACUCACAAAGGAAAGUUGGAUGGUCAGUAGACUGCAAACCAGGAUCAUGUGGAUGGUCUCUCUUGCCAGUCACAAAAAAAGAGUAUGCCGAAUGCAUACAGUCCCCCCUUCCUCUCUCAGUGUUUUGGAAAGCUAAGGAUUUUCCAGGUUAUAAUAGCUCAUAAUGGUGUUGUGUAGUUUCCUACAACAGGAACCACCAGAAAGGAGUCAGGCCUUUCUGAGAUGGUUGCUCACAGGACAGCUCAGCAUUCUAAAACAGUUGUUUUUUAGCCUAGGGGACUUUCACAUUAGAGCAGCCACACACACUGAAUUGGCCAACUGUGUCAAAUUUUCAAUAGCAACUCACUGAAAGUUUCCUAUCACUUGAUUGUACCUGUGAGCAACUUGAAUUUUAUUCACAUUUAUUCACUCAUCUAGAAGCCAACCUGAUUUUCAGGAAAGGAUGCUUGUGCCCCUGUUCUGCUGUUUAUAGCUGUUAAAUGCAGGUAAGCUUGUAGCUCUGGAGAGAUUUUAUCUCCUGAUUUUAGAAACAAAAAAAUAUACAUUAGAAAACAAGCUCCUAUUAUUCAAAUGUUAGCCUAAAGGUGACAAAAGCAGGAAACUGGCUGUAACCUCAGGCUCUUGUCAUGCUGUUGUUGUUCCAUUAGGCAAGAGAAAUGAAGAAUGGAAGCAUGCGUUGGUGGCCAGAGAGAUGGACAUCUUUCAUACAGUUAUUGAGGGAAUCCAGUGCAGUACGAGGACACACUGCAGUGAACUCUCGAAAACUAAGUAUUGCCUGCAAAUCAGAGGAAACUGAUCUGCCCACAGAAGCAAGCGGUUUCCCUUCUGCAGCGUUGUGACUACAGCAUUGAUCUCUGCCUCUAUGUGAAUUCCCAAUUUAGAGAUUUUAGAGAUUUUAAACUGUUUUCAACUUACAAAUGGUCUCAACUUAUUUAUUUAUCUGUCUGUUUAUUUAUUUAUUUAUUUAUUUAUUUAUUUAUUUAUUUUUCUGAAGGAUCAAAGUAAUUUAGCAUAAACUACUCUGUUGCAGAGCUAGUAGAAGUGUUGCUGUUUUUCAGGUAACUACCUGUUUUGUGCUUGACUUCCAGAUCUGCUAGGUGCCAUAUGCUUUAAGUCCCUGGAGUCUGAAAGGAGUCAAGGAGCACAUCCUGGCUGCAUUCUCUGCAAAUAACUUAGAGACAGAAGUCCACUAUGUAGCACAGUUUCCUGGGAACUGUGAUUUACAGUCCAGCUUGCUGUCUUCCUGAGACUUAUGCUGAAUCCUCAUACUCUGACACAGUGAAAACACACCCUUUCCAAAACCCCAUGUCAUAUUUUACAUACUGUUUAAUCCUUGAGAGACACUCAGUGAAAGAAAGUAGGCUGAAACACACAUGAAUACAUAUGUGCAUAUGCACGGGGCAUUUCUGAAAGCAUUGCUUUUUGUAAGACUAAAUAUAUGCAGAUGCAUUUAUAAGCAGUAUAAACUCCCUUUACCUUUCCCUUUCAGAUCCCUCACUGCUCUAAAACAGUGUUUGUCAUGGGCUCAAACUACAGCUCAUGCCAUGCAUUCUGAAUCAUAAUUUCUCUUGUCCAGCUUGCUUUGCUGUUUGCCUGAUCCUAACUAUUUCAUGUCUCUUGCUGGAAACAUCUUGUAUGACUGUGUGAGACUGUCUGGCUUUAGCUCAUCUUGUGCUUUAUGAGUUUCCUUUUGCAAAAUCCUUCUUCUGUACAGGAUGAAAAUUGAUUGCUUCUCAUCCUUACCGUGUCUUUCUGUUAGUCCAGUGGAUCUCCACUGUAUCUGUUCUGAGAGAGAUUUAAUAUAUACUGCAAGCUCCUUGACAGAGGCAUUAAAACAGACUGCAAUACCACAACUCCAUUAAAAUCAACAGCAAUUGAAAAAGUAUACAUGUGCAAAUCCCACAAAUCAACACAAAGACUAAGUCAUUAAUGGUUGCCAUGCUUCCAAAGAGCAUUUUCAACAAAUAAAUGAUUUUUCUAACUCAGCUUUAUAUAUGUCGGGCCUAUGUUCUUGAAUAGUAUGCAACUGGCUAUGUCAUAUUACUUGUGUAUACAAUAUGUAAUCUCAUAUAGCUUUAAUAAGCAUACUAUGAGGUACUUACAGCACAUGUAGACUGUAUGUAUAUCAUAUGUAAGACACAUCAUGUUAUUGGUAUAAAUUUAAAUAUUAAACUCCGAUAUUUAUCUGUAUCCAUAAAAGGUUUGGCAUGUGAUUGAAAGACAAGGACCAAGGAACUGCCUUGGUUCCAUCAAGCUGUACAUAAGUGCAACUCAGUACAUCCCAUGCCUUCACUUACAUGUCACAGCCAUGCUUUGUUCACUGCUCCCAUCCACCUGGGGAGCCUAGAAGCGGGAAGGGAGCACUUUUCCUCGUCACCCACUGAACAUGGGCUUUUGGGAGACCAAGACUGCAAAAUCUGGCACUGAGCACACCUCUUCCCUUUAUUUCUUUUUAAACAGGCUUAGGCUGUAGACAAACCUUCAUGCACUUUAGAGGAAGACACAUCUUAGUGCUGUGAAUGUAAUAUUGACAGCUGCAAAGAAAGAUAAAUGACAUAAACAGAGUGCUUCCCGUGAGCCAGGCUGCUGUUUGAUUAGUGUCUGUUCGAUUAGUGUUUCUUCCGUUCUAUUCUCUGAGCUACUCCCUGUCUCCUUUAGCUUCCUUCUUUCUGUCUCCCACUCCCCCUCACUUUCUCAGGUGGAAAAUAGGAUGUGGCCCCCUCAGUGUGUCUGUCAAACAUUUUGGCUCUUCAGCUAAUCUUUGACCGGACCUGACUGUGCCCCUUUCAAUGAAGCAGAUGAUUGGUUUCCAGUUAAACCUUUGGGAUCCUAGGGCUCAGGAAGAAUAACUCCAAGCACUGCAUUUGGGCAACCUCUAUUAACAAGUUGGAAGUGAAUGAAAGGUAAUAAUUGCAUUUAAACAAUCAACCAAAGCAAAGCUCACCUCUGGGUUUAUAAAUUUGCAGGGAAGCCAUAAUUACAAGGGGCUUGUGUAGCUACAUAGCAUUUGCUUUGAAAAUCGGACAGCCACCUUGCUCCUACUGGAUGCAUAAUUGGGUCCUCAUAGCCCUCUUGAAUCAAGGUAGUGUUGCAGUAAAAGUUUAUUUAUCCAGUGCUCAUUAAAAGAGAAGCUGAAUGGAAAACUCCCACUUUGGGGAUGGGAUUAGAUAGCCCUAGAGUAUUCCUCCUCCCAUGCCCUUUCAAAGUUUUUUUGUUUCUAAAUCUGCUCAGCAAGAAAAAGUAAAUUGCCAGAAGUGAGAUUAGUGAGGAAUAUUGUCCCAAGGACAAUAAAGCUUUAUUACAAGGCUGGUAUGAGAUCCCUGCUUCAAAAAAACUACAAGACCCGGAGGUGUGUGAGCUCUUAAUUGCCUACCUCUGAUAAACUGGCAGAGAAAAAAAAAAAAAAAAAAAAAAAGCAAGCCAAAAAAGUCCUAUUCAGCAGUGAAUUAGCCUGGAUCAAGUCCACUCGCUAAUCAGAGUUUAAUGAGGAUGGUGCUGGCCUUCGAAUAUUCAAAAUGCUCAAAACUGCCCUGGCUUCAUGUUUGUACAGUUAGUAUUUCCUCUCUGCUGUCACUUCUGCACACAGGCUCUCAUGAAUCUUUAGAAAAGUUAAUUAUGUCUGGGACAGGCGUGGUAGGGAGAGGGGGAGUGUAUGUACCUCAGGACAGAAAAAGUAAGGCUGAGAGUUACUCAGCUUAUUCAUUCCCAUAUCAUCCAAAUUCUCUACGCCUCAGCUGGUGGGAUAAAUACCCGAUUUGCUCAUUGUUAGUCAGACCCAGAGAGCCUGGAUAUAUAACAGGAUUUCUAAUACUGUAUCACAGUCAGCCUUUAUCUUCUCUUCCUCUCAAGGGAAUCCACAGGGUAGCUGUGUGUGCCGGCCCCAGGGUUCAAGAAUCACAGGCCACACCACUGGCAACCACAACUGCUGUUUGCUGGUUAUACAACCCCUGAUAAAGACCUGGAGCGAUGCAAAUAUAGCCACUAUGCCAGAGAGCUCCAUGUGUAAAAUCAGGAGGUAUGGUUUGGCUCUUGUUGGCGACACCGAAGUUAGUGAGUGAGCCCACUGCAGUAGCUACGUGGCUGAAAGGAGAGGUCUUUGUGCCCCCAGUAGGCUCCAGAAGUCUUGCAGAGGCAAGUGGACACUGGCAGGUGCCAUUUGGUCUCCAUUCCUCAUUCCUGUUCUACUGCUCUAAACUAGAUACUAUAAUGGCACCAUAUAUUUUAAAAAUUACCCGAACGAAGAACAAGAACUCAAGAUUUGAUACCUUAUAAUUAUGGCCUUGAUUUGGGAUGUGGAACUGACCACAUGAGGCUAUAAAAGCUUAUACACAAACGUCUUUGUCUUUCCAGGGCAGUAUAUGACACUCAUAGUAAGAAAAAGUACCCCAAAUUCUUCUUUUGGCCAACAUGAGAGAUAUAUGGUUCAGUCAGAGCAAAAAUCGGCAUAGAUGCUAUUGAGUGUGGCUACAGUGGGUCAAAUACAUGCUGUCUUAUGUACAAAGCUUAGUUUGUCCACAGCCUACCCCUCAAAGUCCAAUAAAUCUUACAAACUAGUUAUAAGCCUGUGAACUCUGUAUACUUCAAAGUGUGGGUUUCCCACAGCCUUACUAACCUUGCCCUGAUUUUAUACUGUUAUUGAGUUCAGUGGAGCAGCUCUUGGUUUUCAGAAAUGUGAAUGAAGGCAGAAUCAGUCGUGGGAGUUCAGGAGUGGUUUUCUAACACUCAGAUUUUCUUGAGUAUUGUGUAAAAAUUGCACUAACCAAGAUUCCUGUCUGUCUUUGUAGAAUGUUCUUCCAGAUAGCAGGGAAAGUAUGAAUUUUCCAUCAUUUGCCAUGAAUAAGUCUGGUUGAUUUGUUUCGUUUAGACAGAAUAUUUUCAUGACAUUUGCUGGUAUGUGGUGUCACAAAAUCCAACACUGUUAUUGGUUUUGGUGAGAGUAAUAUGUUGAGGCAGGAUGUUAUCAACUGAAGGUUGGAACUGUGUAUAAAACACAAACUAAGUGCAACUGAUCCCAGGUUUUCUCACUCUUGACAGUCAUGUCAUCCAUUAUGCAGUGAAAAGUCUUCAAGCACUUUUUUUGCAAUUGUAUCUCAGAGAGAGAUUAAUCAACCAUUCCAAUCCCUUUUAUUUUUGUUUUCCUAAAAUCUAGAGGAAUAAUAUCAAUCUGGCGGCAAGUUAGGAACAUUUUAUCCCAGUAUUAACAUAUUAAAGCACUAAUAUCUGGUACCAAGGAAGGCAGUGGUCAUAUUGACCAUACAAGGGAUAUUUGAAAAAUGAAGACUUGAUCAGUAAAUAAAAAACUGCCUUAAACAAUUUUUAUAGACAUUAACAUUUUUUAAUGAAAAGGCACUUUUAAUGAAAAGGCCAUUGUCCGAAAAAGAUCUUCAAGUCAAUAUCCCACUAUGAUGUCUGAGAAAAAGGCAUUGUCUUCACAGAAUACUUAUGCAAGCAUGGUCCGAUACUACAGAAAUGUAACACAAAUGCAAUUUAAUGUAAUCUGACCCCACUACAAAUAAUAUUUUAGAGCAGCAAGGGAAUUGAGAAGAGGGAAAGCAAGGAGAGU